ACAUGCAAGUCGAACGCUUUAUCAAUGAAGAGUGGCAGACGGGUGAGUAACGCCGUGGUGAACCUUCCCAGUGGUACGGAAUAGCCCAGGGAAACUUGGGGUAAUACCGCAUAAGCCCUUACGGGGAAAGAUUUAUCGCCAUUGGAUGGGCCCGCGUCGGAUUAACUUGUUGGUGAGGUAAAAGCUCACCAAGGCGACGAUCCGUAUCUGGUCUGAGAGGAUGAUCAGCCACACUGGGACUGAGACACGGCCCAGACUCCUACGGGAGGCAGCAGCGGGGAAUAUUGGACAAUGGGCGCACGCCUGAUCCACCCAUGCCGCGUGAGUGACCAAGGCCUUACGGUUGUAAAGCUCUUUUGGCGGGGACGAUAAUGACGGUACCCGCAGAAUAAGCUCCGGCUAACUUCGUGCCAGCAGCCGUGGUAAUACCGAAGGGAGCCAGCGUCUGUUCCGGAAUCACCGGGCGUAAAGCGCACCGUACGCUGAUUUGACACUCACGGGUGAAAAUCCCGGGCCUAAA
rnacentral:rRNA from 2 species